GACGAACGCUGGCGGCGUGCCUAAUACAUGCAAGUAGAACGCUGAAGGAGGAGCUUGCUCGUCUGGUUGAGUUGCGAACGGGUGAGUAACGCGUAGGUAACCUGCCUGGGAGCGGGGGAUAACUAUUGGAAACGAUAGCUAAUACCGCAUAAGAGUAGAUGUUGCAUGACAUUGGCUUAAAAGUUGCAAUUGCAGCACUACCAGAUGGACCUGCGUUGUAUUAGCUUGUUGGUGGGGUAACGGCUCACCAAGGCGACGAUACAGAGCCGACCUGCGAGGGGGAUCGGCCGCCCUGGGACUGUGACCCGGCCCAGACUCCUACGGGAGGCAGCAGUAGUGCAUCUUCGGCAAUGGCCGGAAGUCUGACCGAGCAACGCCGCGUGAGUGAAGAAGGUUUUCGGAUCGUAAAGCUCUGUUGUAAGAUAAGAACGAGUGUGAGAGUGGAAAGUUCACACUGUGACGGUAUCUUACCAGAAAGGGACGGCUAACUACGUG
rnacentral:rRNA from 1 species